rnacentral:tRNA from 1 species
GUUAAUAUAGUUUAAUUAGAUCAUAAUACUGAAAAUAUUAAGGUAGUCUCUAAGACUUAAUAACA